GAUCACUCCGUUGGCCAUGGCCAGGUAGGCGGCUGGGGACGCUCUCGCUCACUAGGGGACCCGAGACCCAGUUUCAGGUGAGAGGAUCCCUUCUCUCCACUGCUUUCCAGGAGCCAGAGGUCUGCGUCCUUCAUGCCAGCAAGCCCAAGGCCAAACAGAGGCCAGGCAAUCAAUAAGCACUUGCUGGAGGGAAAAGGCCAGACUGAAUGGAGGAAUCCAUCUCUGGGAGUUGUCCAGGGUCAAGGGCCUCCUACUGACACCUGUGCUGAGCACCAGUGGGAAAGCAGUCACCUUUGCUCAGAGGGCGGAAGGGUCAGAGGGGCAGGUGCACCUGGUUCAUCUGCUCCUAGUGAGGUGCAGAACUAAAGGGACAGACACCUCCAGGAGUGGUGAUGACCUCACACUUGACCUCUGUCUUCUGCGUCACCAAAAAAAGAGCACUUUUGCAUAAACACUGCAGAAGACUCCACUGCACUGUUCUAGAAAACAAGGUGUUCACAGAGAUGGUAAGCACAAAGAAAUGGAAGGAACUCCUCUUCCAACUCCCUGCCUCGCACUUCUCUACCAAUCACCUUGAAUGACUGGAGAUUAUUCUGCCCCAUCUGCACCAUGGCCUGAUUUGACCCGGCUUCUGGGGAAGUGCCUGCAAACAGGCCUGGUGUGAAGGGCAGCCUCUGGCCAGGGAAAGGCCUUCCUCAGGACCAGUACCAGCUCCUGUUUGCAGAUGGUCCAAAAUCACUGACUGAGAAGGGGCUGUGUACCUUGCCAAGAAAGUGGACUAAUAUUUUUGGGAAGUUUUAAUUUGCUUCAAUUAAAAAUUGAGGGCAGUUCUGAGCAAAA